AACGAACGCUGGCGGCAGGCCUAACACAUGCAAGUCGAGCGGACCCUUCGGGGUUAGCGGCGGACGGGUGAGUAACGCGUGGGAAUAUGCCCUUCUCUACGGCAUAGUCCUGGGAAACUGGGGGUAAUACCGUAUACGCCCUUUGGGGGAAAGAUUUAUCGGGGAAGGAUUAGCCCGCGUUGGAUUAGGUAGUUGGUGGGGUAAUGGCCUACCAAGCCGACGAUCCAUAGCUGGUUUGAGAGGAUGAUCAGCCACACUGGGACUGAGACACGGCCCAGACUCCUACGGGAGGCAGGAGUGGGGAAUCUUAGACAAUGGGGGCAACCCUGAUCGAGCCAUGACGCGUGAGUGAUGAAGGCAUUAGGGUUGUAAAGCUCUUUCAGCUGGGAAGAUAAUGACGGUACCAGCAGAAGAAGCCCCGGCUAACUCCGUG
rnacentral:rRNA from 1 species